UCGGCUGCGUGGCACCGUACGUAGUUAUGCUCGCACGCGCCGACGGCAUCCACGCCACCCUUGUUCUCUCGCACGCGAAGCGGCAGGGCGACAGUGCACCCGGGGCGGUUUGGUCGUAGUUUGGGAUAGGGUGAGGAAACCAGAACCGCCGAAACCGCGAAACGUAGAGAGGGUCGGGGUCAGCAGCAGCCGCGCCGGCGUCUUAGGCUCUAAUCCCAGGCGCCAGCUCUUCUUCCUCCGCCGCUACUACCGGACGGCCGAUGCCGAGGUGGUCGAAUCCGACCAACCUCAGGCCGGCUGGACGACGAAAGGCAGGUCCUUGAACCGCCGACAGUUUAGGGUCUUUUAGGUCGGGGGUUUCUUCUUUUUCGCUAACCUACUCCGCACGGAACUCUCCAUAGUUGUUAUGUCAUCUUGCAUGUAGGUCAGUACCUAAGAAGUCCCAUUCCAGGUACAUUUGCCUUCCCAGCACUUGUUUCGACCUUGUGUUCAUAGACUGUUCAGUCAGUAUCUUUAGUUCCGACUUUAGGGCUUUAUACAUACAUCCCGACCCGUAUUCGAACUCCGUCGAUAGUUUCUUAAACCUCAACUGACACUACCUUUCUAUCGGGAACUAAGUCCCGACAGAUGUCCACCAAAAUGGCUGACAAAUGAAGUCGUACCCCGUAGUGUACACAUGCCACAACUACAACCGAUACCUGUCCACCGACUUUUUUAAGCACACGUACUUUUACAGAGUCAUUAACUUGCAUGUUUGAACUCUGUAGAAUGAUUCGACGGUGUUGACCAACUGGACCACUGCAACCUGGAUAGUAAGUAGAGUUAAGAACACCAAUACGGACGUCACCAGUUUCAUUACUUCUGUCUGAGUUGUAACUAUUGUGAAUAGUUUGGAGUCAAACUUCGAGCAUCUAGAGUCCAUCCUUUUCCACCCUAAUAAGCUCUGGGAGACCAAGUAUUCCUCCACAAUCUAUCCUAUUAAAGUCCGCAACUCGUCAAACCUAAAGCGUUACCCCCGACCUAGCUCAGAGGCGACUUCCCGCGUCUUCCCUUGUGUCUCAAAGAACGGACGAAGCUCUCCUAGGGUUACGGUCUCGGUGUGUGACUCCGUCUUCGUCCCCGUCUCCGUCUCCGUCUCCGCCGCCGCGUCCGCCUCCGUCUCGGUCUCCGUCACCAACUUCGUGUCCGUGUCCGUCUCCGUCUCGGUCUCGGUCUCCUUUGUACUAAGAAUAAUAAUACAGGUGCCGUACCGUUCAAAAAAAAUCUCUUAUCGACCUCUUAGGACUUCAUCUGGUUCCUUCAAUAUUCUCUAAUCGUACGACACUAUACUCUCUAGGAGUUAGUUCAAUAUGGCUCUAAAAAAACGUAUACGACAACGCUUCGAGUUUUUAACGUAAGACGUUCUGGCUGUUUCCUCUAAGUCUGUACUGUCCGUCCAUGAGUCAACAUAUGUUUUAGCUUUACCUUACUUUGUUAAUCGAGGUCACAAAAAAAAAUAAAAAUAAAAUAUAGAAUCGUAUCGUAUGCCCUACACGAGGGACACGUGGCUCUUCCAUCUUGUGUCAAGGCGAAUGUCAGAACAUGGAAAACACUAAAACGAUGCUUCCGCUUAUGUAAGUGGCGUCAAGCAAGGUGACUAGACUGCUUCGCUAAACUUGACCUUUUACAAGUUCUACUAC
rnacentral:rRNA from 1 species